rnacentral:rRNA from 1 species
GGAUUAGAUACCCUGGUAGUCCACGCCGUAAACGAUGUCUACUAGCCGUUGGGAGCCUUGAGCUUUUAGUGGCGUAGUUAACGCGAUAAGUAGACCGCCUGGGGAGUACGGCCGCAAGGUUAAAACUCAAAUGAAUUGACGGGGGCCCGCACAAGCGGUGGAGCAUGUGGUUUAAUUCGAAGCAACGCGAAGAACCUUACCUACUCUUGACAUCCAGGAAACUUAGCAGAGAUGCUUUGGUGCCUUCGGGAAUCCUGAGACAGGUGCUGCAUGGCUGUCGUCAGCUCGUGCCG